rnacentral:lncRNA from 10 species
CCAAACGCGCUGGGCCAACUGGGUGUAUGUGCGCAGGGGGAAGGUGGGUUCCUCUCCAAGAAGCCUCAACUACAGGCAGGGUUUCCAGGAGCCUUGAACAGAGCACAGGUGAAGAGGAUGGAUUAUGCAGGCGCUGGCCACACAGCUGUUCCCAGGGACCCUUUAGGAGCCCUCUUACCGGCUACAGGAAACGGCAAAGGAACCGCAGCUGAAUCAGGAAAAGAGAGUCAUGUUCUUAAUGGGCUGCUCCUGAGGCUCUAGCUCAGAGGCGAAAUGUGAAACUAAAGACUGCUUCUCUUUAGUGAAGCUCUAUUCACUGUCUCGAAGCUUCAGUGUACGGAGGGGGCGCAUCCCACGGGCAUUCUCUCCAGCUGCCCAGGUGGGUUUCAUUCCCGUACUACACUCUGCUUCAGACUUACCGAGAGCCAUUCUCCACAGCAGGACUUGAGAAGUCCCUGGAAAUAGUUACUGAACUUUUAAAUAAUCAUGCAAACAAGAUCCAAAGAAAUGUCACAAAUAGCUCCUAACCCCUUAAAAACAAACAAUUCCAGACACCUAGAAUGAACAAAGCAGUGCUAAGUCACUUUUCUCAUGAGAUUUUUCACCAAUAAAUUGUGAAGGUGAGCGUCUUGGCCAUUAAAUACUGCCUCAGCCAGCCACUCUCUGCCAUAACUUAACCACAUUGUCCUGAGCUUGAUCCUUCUGUCUCUAUCUCUGUACACCUGGGACACCUUGCAGGCUCAGACUUUAACUCUGGUACCCUUGCACCUGUUCCGCCACCUGCCCCUCCACCGGGUUACUGUUUCUCUAUUCCUGAAUUGUGAGGCUGCCUUGGUGUGACUCUUUCUGUUUUAUCCUCAGCUGCUAUGGAGCAUUUUCUCUCUCUCAUUCAUAAGUGUGUGUGUUUACAAACACAUACUUACAUUUCUUGUAUGCAAUGUGA